rnacentral:rRNA from 1 species
GACGAACGCUGGCGGCGUGCCUAAUACAUGCAAGUCGAGCGAAUGGAAGGGAGCUUGCUCCCUGAAGUUAGCGGCGGACGGGUGAGUAACACGUGGGCAACCUGCCUGUAAGACUGGGAUAACUUCGGGAAACCGGAGCUAAUACCGGAUACGUUCUUUCCCCGCAUGAGGAAAGAUGGAAAGAUGGUUUCGGCUAUCACUUACAGAUGGGCCCGGGGCGCAUUAGCUAGUUGGGGGGGUAAUGGCCCACCAAGGCGACGAUGCGUAACCGACCUGAGAGGGUGAUCGGCCACACUGGGACUGAGACACGGCCCAGACUCCUACGGGAGGCAGCAGUAGGGAAUCUUCCGCAAUGGACGAAAGUCUGACGGAGCAACGCCGCGUGAGCGAAGAAGGCCUUCGGGUCGUAAAGCUCUGUUGUCAGGGAAGAACAACUGCCAGAGUAACUGCUGGCACCUUGACGGUACCUGACCAGAAAGCCACGGCUAACUACGUGCCAGCCGCCGCAGUAA